UUAAGUUUAUGUUGAGUUUAUGUUGCUACAGCAACCGUUUUGCGCGGCAGAAAUCUGUAUAACGUUAGGCAAAUUUUGGACCACAGUAUUUUGUCACACAUGGACGCUGUCGAAAAGAGGAUAAACAGCAUUGCGGAUGAAGCCGAGGAUGCGCUGAUUUCACAAGAGAUUGAGGAAAUACAUCGGUACUCUCUGUCAAAUCAGCUGAGGACAGGUUUGUUUGGACGAGACGCGUGUAUUCAAACCGACGAGUCAGAGCUGCCAAAUAUAAAGAUUCUCGCUGCCAAUGCCGAAGAGCUUACGAAGGAGAUUUGUGUGUUAAAAGAACACACUGAAAAGAAGCUGAAAAUGAUACAGUUUCAGUAUGAGACCAAACUGCAAGAAGAAGCAGAUGCCCUAUAUGACAAUUUGACUGAAAAGAUCAAGAAUGUGGAAAACGGUCAUAAAGAGAAAAUAUCAGUUCUUCGGAGAAGCUAUCAGCAGCAGCUCUCUAAUGCUGUGCAGGUGAUCAGAGCCAGCUAUAAGAAUAAAGGUGAGGUGGAUCUGGAUUGUGAUGAUACUGAUGGAGCAGUAAAUAACCUUCUGAAUGAGCUUCAAGAGAAGAACCUGAAGAUUGAGUGCAUGAGUGAGCAGCUGAAGAAAUAUGAGAUCGCCUCUGAGGGAGCGGAGGACCCCGAAAAAAGCAGACUGAUGUCAGAGAAUGAAAAGCUGAAAGAUAACAUUGACUCGUUGCACGUCGAGCUGCAAGAAAUUCACCAAGUUCUGGAAUCCAAAGAGCAGAAGCUGGCUCUGGAUUUGGAACAGCUCAAACUAGAGGCAGAUGACAGCAAAAAGGCACUUCAAAAGAUGACAGGUCAACAUGAGCAAUUAAAAAUGGAGUUAAAAGUUGAAAAAGAAAGCUGCAUAGAAAAGAUAAAACAGCUAAAGGAGGAAAUGGAGAAAGAGAUAGUACACAUUGAAGCAGCACACAUGAAGGAGAAAGCUGCCACUGAAAAGAAGCUUGAGAAGCUGAAGAAGGCGGAACUUACAACCAUGGAGCUUGUUGGGGAUACAGAGCUGGCUCUUAAAAUAAGAGAAUUUAAAAAGGCUGAAUCAUUGCAGAAAAAGGAGAUUGAAAGGCUCAAUAAGCAGUUGUGCAUGUCCAAUCAGGUGUGGGAGAAGAAAUUUGAGAUUUUAACACAAAAUUUUCAUGCCAUCAAGGACGAGAUGUUUUUAAGGCAGAGACUGCAGCGUCAGGAAGCCAUUCUGCACAAUGCUUCAGUCAGCUUAAUGAUGGAUGCUCCAUGCUCGCCACUGAAGAGUCCUGCAGAUGGUGCUUUUAAAAGUCUGAGAUACAGCACGGUGGCUCCUCUGCCACGUAUAGGUGCUAGACACCAACACAAGAGGAACCACAGUACACAGAGGGAAAGAAGGGCAGAUGUUCUCCCUGGCUUAGCUGCAUUUGUGUUACAAAUCCCUCCCCGCUGAGAAAUGUUUAUAAUAGGGAGAAAUCAGUUGGACAGCAGUGAGGUUCAUGCCAGCGAACAACUGAAAGAAACCUGGCAACUAGGGGAAAAACCCUCUCAAGUCCAUCCUGUCGAACAAAAGGCGCUCGACGCAUUGAGCUAAGAUGCAACGAGUUCUGCGUCCCGGGCACAUGACGUGCAUCAUGGAAACAUAUUGUAUCGAAAUCGUUUGUGGGAGAAAACCGGGGAUGAAAAAGAAUGGGGCGCUUUGAUCCGCGCCCUGGGGUCCCGAGCUCCCCGAGUGCGCGCAGACUGACUGCAAGGCCUUAUUCACUUUCAGAUAGACACACUUACAAACGCUACUGAAUGAAAUUAGCAUAUUUGUAAUUUAUCACAUUUUAGCCCGACUUUUCUGUCUCUUUGCGGAAGGUGGAAGUCUGAAUAAAAAAGUGGAUCAAUUAUCAACGCGAAGCUGUUCCCUUCUCAUAGCAGAAUGCUGUAGUUUGGGAAUUACAAAAAACUAGCUGCUGUUAGGGUAAAAAAGAAAACUUGAAAAAAUGAAAAGGUUGAACCAACUGAAUUUAUAAUUGAUUUUUAUUUUUUUAGCUGAAAAUAUUUGCAUAAACAAAGGUUUAUCCUUAAGUGAUGUCAGAAAGCUGUGCUUUUCCCCAUCACCAAUAUUAUUUCUGAAAAUUCUGAAAAUACAACCAUCCUACUUCCAUGGUUAAGUCCAAUAUGCAAUAUGUAGCACUCUGUCGAGUCUUGUUGCAAGUUUGCUUAAGCUCAACCAGCCUACUGGAAAAUUAGGCCAAGUAAAUUACUAACAAAAUCGUAUUGCAUAAUUUGCACAUACGGAAUUGCAAUGAAGCUCAGACCUGUUGCAUGUCUUUGCGCAGAGAGGUGCAUUGCAUUCCCCAGGAGAUGGGUUUAAAAAAAGCAAAAAAAAAAAAAAAAAAAACAUUAAUAAAGCUAGGGGAUCUGGCCAUUGAAAUGAGGUGACAGGCAGGAUCUGGAUGUUUUAGCACUGACACAAAACCGCAUACGGUAACUACAUGCCUGCCUUGAAAUACGAGAGUUUGAAUAAAGGAGCAGUAAUAUUUCAUAUGGGGCACGCAAAAGCUGGAUACAAUGCCUCUCAUAUUAAGAACAAUAUUCAGUCCUUUCUGUGGUGAACAAAGAUCAUAGCAAGACGUCUUUGAGGCUAAUUCAGUCAAAGGCACAUUUUGGCUUCCCCCGCGGUAAGGUCAGUGUCGUUGUGUAUGGUCCACCAAGGGUGGUAUGGGGUUCCAUGGCCAAGCAAAGCCAGCUGUCCCUGGUGUAGGGCGACCAGUCUGAAUUGUUAUUAUAAACUGCCAGAGCUACUAUUGUGGCUAUUCGUGAACCUUGUGUUAUGAGUUUAAAGUUCAACUUAUUUUUUCUUCCCCAUUAUAUGAGAUAAUGCAAGUUUUGUAGUAUGGUCAGCUAUGGCUUCCAAAGUAACAACUGGACUUUUAAAUUAAGAUCUUCUUGAAGUUUGCUUUGACCGUGACUUGGAAGAACACAAACACCAUCCGCUGAACUGUUGUUUUCCGUCGAUCAAGCACCAUGCCAUCUUUCACAAAAAAUAAUAAUUAAAAUUAAUCAGUUAUCUUUAUGAUUUUAUGCUAUAUCAUUUUAAGUGACUUAAUGCUUAGGGUUGUGGUUUUAAACUUGUAGACAGACGUCUUUAACAAAACUAUGGACAUGCAGGUAAUCACAAGAAUUAAAACGUAAUUCACUUUUAAUACAUGAAUCAAGUCAAUUUUUACCGAAUCAUAAUUUAGUGACGUUUAGAGAUAACGUUCAUUAAAAAAAUGCUUUUAACAAAAAAACAUAUAUAAACAUAUCCAUGAAUAAAGUACGCCAGAUGUAUAGAUGUGUAAGAAAGUGCACCUCGGAGAUGAAAAUCUGAAGUCAAAUCUUGUGCACCAAAGAUUUUUCUUGAAUUUAAGCCUUGGGUUGAAGAGGGAGAGAGACCGUUUUCAAACUAGAAAACUCUAGCUGGUUCAAAUCUUUGCCGGUUCGCUCUUGUCAACCGGGCGUCCCGUGCGCAAAAACCAAGCUUGCCAUGGUGAUGUUUUAUUUUCCAAAGCACAAUGUCAUGGCACAAGCUUAUUUUUCCUGGAUGUAACUGGGGUCUUUUGUUAAGAAAGAGAACGAGGAGCUACCCAAUGGGCUCAUUCUAUCCUUUUAUGCUCAAUUGAACAAUAUUUUCUUUUUCUUUAAAAAAUCCUGCACGCGUGCGCGCUUUUGUACACUUGUUCCACCGGAUCCCGUUUGGCUGCUAAGAAGUUAAAUGCUUCGCAAUAGACACCGGUUGCUGAGUCGAGGGUUUCUCAGUACAAAGGCUGCUGCUUUCGCACCAUAUGCUUAAUGGACACAGCCGUAAAGGCCAUAAUAAAGGUAAAACGUGGUCUUUUAAAAGUUGGAAAGGUUCCCUUUAUUUGAUUUAGAUGGAACAGACUACGUGCGCACAAACCAAAGCGCGCCCCGGCAUUGACUCGCUCUUUCUUUUCUGAGGCACUGCAGCCACCACGUAGUGUGUUUCAUUACAACAUAAGCUUUUCAUCACCCGGCUUUGUUCUGAAUGAAAGUAAUGCUGUGAAUUAAAGAAAUGACAAUAUUUUCUAUCAGCUUGAAGGUCCAAGAGAAGGGCUCUCGAGCUUGGCAAAAAUCAGGCACAUCAUUCAUCAUGUCACCCCGCACCUGUGGUCCUGGCAUUCAAAGUAUACAAACCUAUUCUUAUUAACCUUAAUUAUUCAAAAACGACACAAUGGCUGAAAUAGAGCAGGUUGAAGUCUGUUUAUUGGUCGUAAAUGUCCCUCUGAAGAUCUCCAAGGCUCUUUGUUAGUCCCGCGCGGCGACCGCUCUUCUCCUUUCAGACAUGAGUAGCCUUGGACUUUUCAGUUUUCAAUCGUAACAUCUGCUUAAUCGUACGGAUCAAAAUAUGGAGACACCAAACAUUUGCAGUGAAGGAUUUGUUAAAUCCGGGUAAUGAGUUAUUAACAAGACGAAACAAUGGAGCGGGAUGGUGAGGGCCUUAUGUUAACGGAGUCACUUUACGAAGCGCCUCGCAUUACCCUUCUUUCUAAGCGGGACGCCAGGUGAUGGCGAGGACAUCAAUGUCCUUAGGAGGCAGCGCUUUUUUUCUGCACGUGAAAAAUUAGUGGACAUAAAUUUAAUGGCUCGAUCGAGCCACAGAAACGCGUCUAUUACCCGUGGACUUGCGUGGAGGACAAAACAAUACUGCUGGCUGCCUCGCGUUGGCUCCCUAAAUCCGGGUGGAUCAUUGAAAAUGUGUUUUAUUAUAACGCACGUCAUGCUUUACUGUUCCCAUAUUGUGUCGGGACAAAGGCUAAUGGUACAUUAAAGACAAGAAACCCAUGCCAACACGUCUUGGAGACGUUGUAGACGGAGACGGGCCUCCCUCUUUGCUUGUUUUAAGCAGCUGCUGUCCAGGACCCGGGCGCACAAAAAGAACAAGUUUGAAAUACCAGGUGCAUCGAGGAGAAACUCGUCAUGUUCAAGCUCAGAACACUGUCCUAGCAAUAAAGAUAUCAUGGCAAUUAUCUGCAGACUCAGCACCGUGUAAAACCAGGGGCGCCUGCUGCAGAACAGCCUGUACUUUGGCAACAAAGUCUCCCGACCCGGGGUGCUCGAUGAGCCCGCUUUCUCGAGCACCUGUUAGCCGAGGUGAUAUUUUUGGACGAAUAAUUAGUGAUAUAUUUGCUGCAUUGAAGAUCACGCUGUACCCCCAGAGGCGACUCGGACAUGGGGGAUUUAGUGGGAUUUAAAGAGUUUGGGUAUCAACUGGUGUUUGUUCAAGCUGGCAGCUGGCACCCCGAUGCCACUGUUGCCAUGCACUAAUGAAAAUGCGCCAGACUCAAAGAUUUUCAGUCUUAUCCUCCAUAUUUUUUUGCAGGCGAUAAUCCGAAUGUGAGCAGAUUUAAAGCUUAUGAGAAUCUUGAUAGGCGUCGUUCCCAGCUUAGUGCGCAUUGUAAGAUUGUUGACACUGAUAGUUAUAAACCGUGCGUAAUCGUUCACUUUCUUUAAUACAAUUAGGUGUAGACUACAUAUGAAACUCAAACAUUAAUGGGGCGACAGCGGAUUUUUUGUACAAUAUUUAUUCUACGAACACUCAGUCAAAUUAUAGAAAGUUUCAAUGUAAUUUUUAGGACUUUUAUAUAAUUGUAAGUAUAUAUUUAUUAAAAAUCCAAGACGUACCGAACUUGCAACUUGUAGGCUAUUGUAAUUCCAGUCGGCGAACAAUAUUAAUAACUACCCGCGGCCAUCCACAGACGCGGACUUUGUAAAAGAGCCUGUGGGACGGUGAAACGCACAGUAAACGGGUUAAACCCUGACAAGCAACAAAUGGUCGCCUUUUAAGCUUUGCCAAGCCAAAUCCCAAAGUGACAAAAUAGAAUCCUGAAAAGAUCCAGCGCAUCAGCCUUUUUCUUCCGCUCCAUCGGCGCUCUUCCAAAAGAUGCUUUUAAGGGUUUUGUACUGUGCCUGUUUUGAAACACCCUCUUUCACUAAGAUGCGGUGCCAAAAUACAAUGAUAGCAGCAUUUUUUGUUUCCCCCUAAUCAAAUUGAAAUGUUACCACGGGCAAAUAGUUGAAAUCGCCAGAAGACGUUUGGGGUCUUUUAUCUUAGUUAAGUCUGACUUGCUAACAUUUGACUUUCUAAUGAGCAUAAUGGGAUUACAUGCUUUUAGUCCUGCGCCCUGGAUAGCAGAAAUCAGCGCGUUUAAUGAGGCGCUAAUACUCGGAAAGGUUGGAUUAUGUCCAUCAGUUAAAAAUUUCAUUUAAUUAAUUAAAUAUUGAUGACACUAAUUAAAUAUUUGUCCUUAUAUAACUAAAUAGGUAAUUGACCAGUACGCAUUAGUUAAGUACUACAUCAAAUAUAUAAUAUUUACAUUAACAAACUGUGCACCAAUAAUAUGACUGUAGAACAAGCAAGAUGAAACAUUAUAUUAUAAACAACAUGAUUAAAGUAUCAAAU